rnacentral:rRNA from 1 species
UAAGCUAAAUUAAGGGCGUAUGGAGGAUGCCUAGGCUCUCAGAGGCGAAGAAGGACGUGAUAAGCUGCGAAAAGCUGCGGGGAUUGGCACAUAUGAUUUGAUCCGCAGAUAUCCGAAUGGGGCAACCCGGCAUGUUGAAGACAUGUCACCUAGCAAUAGGAGUAAACCCGGUGAACUGAAACAUCUAAGUAACCGGAGGAAGAGAAAACAAAAGUGAUUCCGUAAGUAGCGGCGAGCGAACAUGGAUUAGCCCAAACCAGAAUUGUUACGGCAAUUUUGGGGUUGUAGGACCACGAUAUUCAAUGCUAAGAGAAUUAGAACUGUUUGGAAAGACAGACCAUAGAGGGUGAUAGUCCCGUAUAGGUAAUCGAAGUUAUUGAUAGUGGUAUCCUGAGUAGUGCGGGGCACGUGAAACCCUGUAUGAAUCAAGCGGGACCAUCCGCUAAGGCUAAAUACUCCUGAGAGACCGAUAGUGAACUAGUACCGUGAGGGAAAGGUGAAAAGAACCCUAAGUAAGGGAGUGAAACAGAUCCUGAAACCGUACGCCUACAAGCGGUCGGAGUCACGCUUUGCGUGAUGACGGCGUGCCUUUUGCAUAAUGAGCCUACGAGUUACUGUUUCUAGCAAGGUUAAGUAGUUAAGGUACGGAGCCGUAGCGAAAGCGAGUCUGAAUAGGGCGACCAUAGUUAGGAGUAGUAGACGCGAAACCGAGUGAUCUACCCAUGGGCAGGUUGAAGCUGUAGUAACAUACAGUGGAGGACCGAACCAGUUGACGUUGAAAAGUCUUUGGAUGACCUGUGGGUAGGGGUGAAAGGCCAAUCAAACUCGGAAAUAGCUCGUACUCCCCGAAAUGCAUUUAGGUGCAGCGUUGAUUUAAGUUUUAUAGAGGUAGAGCUACUGAUUGGAUGCGGGGGCUUCACCGCCUACCAAUUCCUGACAAACUCCGAAUGCUAUAAAAUGUUGAUCAGCAGUGAGGGCAUGGGUGCUAAGGUCCAUGUCCGAGAGGGAAAGAACCCAGACCAUCAGCUAAGGUCCCAAAAUAUAUGCUAAGUUGAACUAACGAGGUUCGAUUGCUUUGACAGCUAGGAUGUUGGCUUGGAAGCAGCCAUUCAUUUAAAGAGUGCGUAACAGCUCACUAGUCGAGCGAUCGAGCAUGGAUAAUAAUCGGGCAUAAGCAUAUUACCGAAGCUAUGGACUCUACACUUUUAGUGUAGAUUGGUAGGGGAGCAUUGUAAACUUGCGUUGAAUGCGGACUGUGAGGUCUGCUGGAGCGUUUACAAAAGAAAAUGUAGGCAUAAGUAACGAUAAGGCGGGUGAGAAACCCGCCCACCGAAAGACUAAGGUUUCCUCAGCGAUGCUAAUCAGCUGAGGGUUAGUCGGGGCCUAAGGCGCACCCGAAAGGGGAAGUCGAUGGACAACGGGUUAAUAUUCCCGUACUACUUAUUAUUGUGAUGGGGUGACGGAGUAAUGAAAGCACCGCGUACUGACGGAAUAGUACGUUGAACUGAGUAGGUAUAGGAUUUGUAGUUAAAUGCGCAGAUCUUGCUGAAUCAGGAUAGUACCACGAAGCUUCGGUGGAGUGGAUAGUGUGCCUAAGCGCUUCCAAGAAAAACCUCUAAACUCUAGAUAAUAAGUACCCGUACCCCAAACCGACACAGGUAGUUGGGAAGAGAAUUCUAAGGUGCUCGAGAGAUUCAUGGCUAAGGAACUAGGCAAAAUAGACUCGUAACUUCGGGAGAAGAGUCGCCCUGAGCAAUCAGGGCCGCAGUGAAAAGAUCCAGGCGACUGUUUAUCAAAAACAUAGGGCUAUGCUAAAUUGAAAGAUGACGUAUAUGGCCUGACACCUGCCCGGUGCUGGAAGGUUAAGUGGAGGGGUUAUUUCUUCGGAAAGAAGCUCUGAAAUGAAGCCCCAGUAAACGGCGGCCGUAACUAUAACGGUCCUAAGGUAGCGAAAUUCCUUGUCGGGUAAGUUCCGACCUGCACGAAUGGUGCAACGAUCUGGAUACUGUCUCAGCCAUGACCUCGGU